rfam:Rattus norvegicus chromosome 16, whole genome shotgun sequence.
GGGGAUUUAGCUCAGUGGUAGAGCGCUUGCCUAGCAAGAACAAGGCCCUGGGUUCGAUCCCCAGCUCCG